CUUCACAGGUUUUCUCCCACACUUUUACUUCUUCCAUUAACGAGCUAGCUCUUCACACCAAGUUCUUGAAUCGGGAUUUUGCGAACAACGUUACGUUCUGAAGAAGAAGAAGAAGAGAUUGAUAAAUACUGGGAAUACAAGGAAAAACACAGGAUGAUAUCCUAUUUCCUACUUUUAUGAAUCAUUUUUAGGUAGAAUACUGUUUGUAUUUUUAUUUUUUUGAAGAAAUACUGUUGGUAUGAUUGUGUCUAUUUGCAGACAAGUCUAGGGAGAAUCACAUUUGGAAGAUCGUAAAAAAUUAUGGAUUAUCCAAACAAUCGGAGGAAGGUAAAGAUUGUAUGGUUUUUUAGACCUAGCCAAGUACAGAAAUGGCUUAGAGAAAGAAAGGUUGCUUUCCUUGUGCGAGAUAUCUCUUUAGCAUCAGGGGAAGGUAGAGGCGUCGCCAAUAUCAAUCAUAUGCUAUUCUGGAAUUAGAGGAAGAAAUGGUGGGGAAACGCUAUGUGGUAUGCACAUCAAAGGACAUAUGAAAUCGUCAACCCUCCGAAAGAAAACGACCAAAGGCUGAGUUUGUGUGCUCCCGGGCAUUUGAUGUUUGAGAAUGCACCUUCCUAGAUAAACUAGAUAACGUCAUAUCUGGAAUUGGAGUCUUUAACAGCAAAGAGUGCUCAGCGCUGAGUGGAGAUCAAGAAUGGAAAGAAGUAGAAAACCCCAAAUAUAGUAGUAAUGAUAAGGAUAACCUUCAAGCUCCAAUUGAUCAAGGUGGAGAGGAUGCUAAGCUGAAGUCCCAAGGUGUAUUAUAUCAUUCCGGCUCACUGCGAAGUACUCCUCUAGAGGAAACUGUAAGGCUUGGUGGCUUAACCAAGCCAAAAGUUAGAUGCAAGGAUGCUGGAGUGCUAUCUGGAUUUCAUACAAGUCAUGACUGGACAAUUUGAUCGAGGGAUCUCCAGUGGUGAGUCCUAAGUAAGAGAGCCAACCUACUCCUAAACCAGCAGGAGAGAAGGGUACAAAAGACGAACAAGUAAUUCUGAGUAAGAGACCAACGAAUUGUGGAAAGAGGAGCUGCUCCUAAAUUGGCACAAGAGAAGGGUACGAAAGACGAACAAGUAAUUCUGAGUAAGAGACCAACGAAAUUUGUGGAAAGAGGAGGUGCUCCUGAAUUGGCACAAGAGAAGGGUAGGAAUGCUCAUGCCGGAUAUCGUAGUAUUAAAGAACGUGAAAAAGACUCUGUUAGGCAUGAUCAAGGGUUAUUCACUGCAACAACUACUGAGAAAAACCUAUACCUCAGUGAAAGAAGAGAAGGUGCUAUAGAUCUCAUUGGACAACACAAUUGGAUAUCCAAUACAUUGAAUCGUAUUGACGAAGGGGACCCAAUUUUAAAUAAAGAAGCACCUGAAGCUCCCCAGCAAAAGAAGAUGAUCAAAAGAGAUGGUCACAUUGUGGAUGCCCAGCAAAUUGCUGUAAGUUCUUACCAUCCUUCCUUGGAAGAAUACAUGGGAGGGAAAAAUGGACUGUGCUUAUACCAAUGGAACCCUUGUCCGACUGCAGAAUUUGGACCCAUCCUAUUCAGCAGCGGGAAUUGAGGAAAUAAUGUUGACCUAUUUGAAUGUAAGGUUCACUGCAAAGGUGUUACAAGAUAGUACAUUCUCUAGCCCUCACAAUGGUAAAUGAUCCAAUUCAAUCUGGUAACUGUUAUCAAUUUAUCCAGUCGUUUUGUGCUAUGUACCAUACAAAUGCAAUGUCAUCCUGUCAGUUCAUUAUCCUCACCUAUGAUGCUAAGAACGUUAUUAUUACGUUAAUAUCAAACACCCUUCCAACAUAGGUACAUGGUCUUAGGGUCCCAUUAGGAAUCACCAUAUCUAUAGUACCUGUAUAUGCUCUUCAAAAGGAAUCCGUCGUCCAUACGUCUCCUAUUUAAAAGAGAAACUGAAGAAUAUACAGUAUAUAUUUAUUUGUUUGUUUUUAUCAUUCAUCCUUGGAAUCUGAGCCUCCCACCAAAUAAAUUUAUUGCAGAACUAAAAUCACUGGAAACUCCUUUUCCUUUUAGAAGUAGAAUUCAUCAACAAUUACCUAUACAGUUUGAUUCAAAUUCAGUCAUUCUAUUCAAUAUUACUUGGUUAAUUUAAAAAAAGAUUCACAGCCUUCUUCGUCUCCCUCUCCCUCUCAAACCCUAAAAAAGGCAUCUCCUUCUCUUUUUCUUCCCCUUUUCAGAUCAAACAUUACAUACACAACUCCAUAGCAAUCCAUGGUUUUGUAGCUUGUAUUCCUCUCUCAAUUUCAGAUCUCCAGCUUUCUCCACCUCUUUCUACCUCUUCCUCCUAAACUCCGAAAAAGGCAGUUCCUUUGUCUCUCUUUUUUCUGCUGCAGGUCAUCUUGAAGACUUCAACAAUUCCUUUGUUUAGCUAUCAAUAUCAGUCAGUCCAUCAAUCAACCGAGAUUAUGGGUGAAGCAGGUGCCAAAGUAGUAUCAUCAUCUGCAAUUGAGAAAAGAAGAAGUGAACGCAAGUGUCCACCAUUACCAAAGGCAGCACCUUGGCUUGUGUUUCCUUAUCAAGUUAAAGAAAAAAUUAUGCUGAUCAUCGUAGUAUUUUGUCACCCUGAAGACAAACGAUGGAAAACAAAAUGGGUUAAUGGCAGUUCUCUCUGUUGUUUUAAAAAUAAGUUAUAUCUUAUGGGCGGACUUUAUGAUGAUUACCUAGAGAUUGAUAAGGGGAAGCUUUGGGAUAACGAUGAUUAUUCUCUCCUUUUAUGUCCACUUGAGAUGACUAGGACGCUCAUCCUUGGAGAAGAAAGGAGGACCAUAUUUUUUGCAGAAAUUUUUAUGUGGAAUCUUCUGAUGAACUCUUCAAGGUUCACAUAAAAUUUAAUAAAAGACAAAACAUGAAGGUAUUCAACUCAGUAGUUGUGUUGAGGUUGGAUUUCUCUUCAAAGGAGUGGAAGGUGGUGACUUGUUUGGGAGAUCAUGUUCUGUUUAUCGGAAAAAACUCCACAGCUUGUUGCUCGGCGUUUAAAUUGGGACUCACAAGUGGUUGUGUGUAUUACACACUUCGAGAAGAUCAGGGUCUAUACAAAUUUGAAGUACAAAGCAGCGGUAACUCUGUUAUUUUGCCGUGUUUAAAGCUGCCAAACCUAUGGUUCUCAUCAGAUUGGAUCAUGAUUCUUAAUGGACCGUAACAAGCGGAAGAAGAAGAAAAUUGCAUGGGAAAGGCAGUGGAAAAUGAAUUAAGAAUAAUUGGCUAUGAAAAGAAUGAGAAGGGUGGAGGAUUUAGAGAAACAAGCCCUUGGGAUAUUCUUAAAGCUGUUAUUUUGCCGUGUUUGCCGUGGUUGCCGUGGUUCCCAUCUGAUUGGAUUAUGAUUCUUGGUGGACGGCAACAAGAGGAAGAAAAAGAAGAAGAUUGCAUGGGAACGACAAUGGAAAAUGAAUCAAGUAUAAUAGCUUUUGGAAAGAACGAAAAUGAGAAGGACAGUGGAUUUGAAGAAACAAGGCCAUGGGAUAUUCUUGAUGCUGAUUCCAAAGAGUUGGUAGCAAGUUAUCUUCAUCCAUUGGAUUAUGUUCAUUUUCGUUCAGUUUGUAAAACAAUUCGAGCGACGAUGCCUGUGUCGAAGCCGACAUUCACUAGUACCACGAAAACCUCAAAUUUAUUUCCAUUGCUGGUGUUUUGUAGAGAUAACAACGACACCGUCUACAAUUUCGUUAUCCCUGUGCGUGAUAAUGAGUACUAUCUCAUAAAGUUUUCCGAGUUGCUACUUGGUGCUACAAUCUUUUUCAAAAGGGUGGGUGGCUACUGAUGUCAAGAGAGGAAAUCCUAUUCUUCUACAAUCCAUUCACAAGGAAAACCAUCAAUCUUCCGCCCUUGCCGGAGCAUUAUUUCUUUUCUAGCAUUUGUUUUUGUUCGUUGCCGACUUCCGCAGAUUGUAUAGUUUUCGCCAUUGAUAAACGUAGGCAAGGAACAAUCACUGUCUACUCCAUUACCAGAGGAAAACAGAUUAUAACGGGAUUUUAGGAGCAUUUAACUUGAAGGAUAAUUCCUGGAAGGUUCUAGGGACGCCCUGUAUAAGAUAUAAUGAUAUGCAUCCGUAUCCAAGUUUCCUGGUGGGGAGUGGAGAAGAUCUUGUAUUGGUGAAAUUAUGAUGUCAAGAAAAGCCGCCAUCGCUCCAAGUAGUCGAAUGGAGAACAAACUAUUUUCCCCUGGAUUAUGUUUCAAUGGAGAAGGAAUUCUGUUCUAUUCACUUGAAACUGGUAAGUAUGACUCUUUUGGCGGUGGGCAUUCUUAUAUGAAACAGAGGGCUGGCGUACAAACUGCACUUGGAUUGAACCUAAUUGGUUCAAGUUCACCCCUAAAGAGCUCAACUGUCGUAAUAAUUCUUUGCAUGGAGUUGAGAAGAGAUGAAAUAAAAACGUAUUCCUGAAAUUAUCAGUUUGCUGACCGUGUUACGAGUCUUAUAUCCAUCUUGAUAACAUGUUGUUAAUGGUGAUCAAAUCAUGAUAUUGAUUAAGAAAACAGAUUGUUUCAUUACAUGCUGAUAAGGGCAACUCUCAUCCAUAUCUUUGUGAUGAUCUACAUUUUAUGGACCAAAA